GGCCCAGUGGUCUAAGGGUUAUGAUCUUCGGUUUGGAUCCGAAGGGCUCCCGGUUCGAGUCCGGGCUGGGCCC